rnacentral:rRNA from 1 species
GACGGAGGGUGCUAGCGUUGUUCGGAAUCACUGGGCGUAAAGGGCGCGUAGGCGGCCUUGCAAGUCGGUUGGUGAAAGCCCGGGGCUCAACCCCGGAGGUGCGGCCGAGACUGCAGGGCUGGAGGCCGGAGAGGUUGGUGGAAUUCUCGGUGUAGAGGUGAAAUUCGUAGAUAUCGAGAGGAACACCGGUGGCGAAGGCGGCCAACUGGACGAAUACUGACGCUGAGACACGAAAGCGUGGGGAGCAAACAGG